rnacentral:rRNA from 1 species
UUGAACGCUGGCGGAAUGCUUUACCCCUGCCAGUCGAACGGCAGCACGGGGGCAACCCUGGUGGCGAGUGGCGAACGGGUGAGUAAUACAUCGGAACGUGCCCGGUCGUGGGGGAUAACGUAGCGAAAGUUACGCUAAUACCGCAUACGAUCUGAGGAUGAAAGCGGGGGACCUUCGGGCCUCGCGCGAUCGGAGCGGCCGAUGUCAGAUUAGGUAGUUGGUGGGGUAAAGGCCUACCAAGCCGACGAUCUGUAGCUGGUCUGAGAGGACGACCAGCCACACUGGGACUGAGACACGGCCCAGACUCCUACGGGAGGCAGCAGUGGGGAAUUUUGGACAAUGGGCGCAAGCCUGAUCCAGCCAUUCCGCGUGCAGGACGAAGGCCUUCGGGUUGUAAACUGCUUUUGUAUGGAACGAAAAGGCUCUGGCUAAUACCUGGGGCUCAUGACGGUACCGUAAGAAUAAGCACCGGCUAACUACGUG